rnacentral:rRNA from 3 species
UUAAGCGACUAAGCGUACACGGUGGAUGCCCUGGCAGUCAGAGGCGAUGAAGGACGUGCUAAUCUGCGAUAAGCGUCGGUGAGGUGAUAUGAACCGUUAUAACCGGCGAUUUCCGAAUGGGGAAACCCAGUGUGUUUCGACACACUAUCAUUAACUGAAUCCAUAGGUUAAUGAGGCGAACCGGGGGAACUGAAACAUCUAAGUACCCCGAGGAAAAGAAAUCAACCGAGAUUCCCCCAGUAGCGGCGAGCGAACGGGGAGGAGCCCAGAGCCUGAAUCAGUGUGUGUGUUAGUGGAAGCGUCUGGAAAGGCGUGCGAUACAGGGUGACAGCCCCGUACACAAAAAUGCACAUAUUGUGAGCUCGAUGAGUAGGGCGGGACACGUGGUAUCCUGUCUGAAUAUGGGGGGACCAUCCUCCAAGGCUAAAUACUCCUGACUGACCGAUAGUGAACCAGUACCGUGAGGGAAAGGCGAAAAGAACCCCGGCGAGGGGAGUGAAAAAGAACCUGAAACCGUGUACGUACAAGCAGUGGGAGCCUCUUAAUGGGGUGACUGCGUACCUUUUGUAUAAUGGGUCAGCGACUUAUAUUCUGUAGCAAGGUUAACCGAAUAGGGGAGCCGAAGGGAAACCGAGUCUUAACUGGGCGUUAAGUUGCAGGGUAUAGACCCGAAACCCGGUGAUCUAGCCAUGGGCAGGUUGAAGGUUGGGUAACACUAACUGGAGGACCGAACCGACUAAUGUUGAAAAAUUAGCGGAUGACUUGUGGCUGGGGGUGAAAGGCCAAUCAAACCGGGAGAUAGCUGGUUCUCCCCGAAAGCUAUUUAGGUAGCGCCUCGUGAAUUCAUCUCCGGGGGUAGAGCACUGUUUCGGCAAGGGGGUCAUCCCGACUUACCAACCCGAUGCAAACUGCGAAUACCGGAGAAUGUUAUCACGGGAGACACACGGCGGGUGCUAACGUCCGUCGUGAAGAGGGAAACAACCCAGACCGCCAGCUAAGGUCCCAAAGUCAUGGUUAAGUGGGAAACGAUGUGGGAAGGCCCAGACAGCCAGGAUGUUGGCUUAGAAGCAGCCAUCAUUUAAAGAAAGCGUAAUAGCUCACUGGUCGAGUCGGCCUGCGCGGAAGAUGUAACGGGGCUAAACCAUGCACCGAAGCUGCGGCAGCGACACUAUGUGUUGUUGGGUAGGGGAGCGUUCUGUAAGCCUGUGAAGGUGGCCUGUGAGGGUUGCUGGAGGUAUCAGAAGUGCGAAUGCUGACAUAAGUAACGAUAAAGCGGGUGAAAAGCCCGCUCGCCGGAAGACCAAGGGUUCCUGUCCAACGUUAAUCGGGGCAGGGUGAGUCGACCCCUAAGGCGAGGCCGAAAGGCGUAGUCGAUGGGAAACAGGUUAAUAUUCCUGUACUUGGUGUUACUGCGAAGGGGGGACGGAGAAGGCUAUGUUGGCCGGGCGACGGUUGUCCCGGUUUAAGCGUGUAGGCUGGUUUUCCAGGCAAAUCCGGAAAACCAAGGCUGAGGCGUGAUGACGAGGCACUACGGUGCUGAAGCGACAAAUGCCCUGCUUCCAGGAAAAGCCUCUAAGCAUCAGGUAACAUCAAAUCGUACCCCAAACCGACACAGGUGGUCAGGUAGAGAAUACCAAGGCGCUUGAGAGAACUCGGGUGAAGGAACUAGGCAAAAUAGUGCCGUAACUUCGGGAGAAGGCACGCUGAUAUGUAGGUGAAGCGACUUGCUCGUGGAGCUGAAAUCAGUCGAAGAUACCAGCUGGCUGCAACUGUUUAUUAAAAACACAGCACUGUGCAAACACGAAAGUGGACGUAUACGGUGUGACGCCUGCCCGGUGCCGGAAGGUUAAUUGAUGGGGUUAGCGGUAACGCGAAGCUCUUGAUCGAAGCCCCGGUAAACGGCGGCCGUAACUAUAACGGUCCUAAGGUAGCGAAAUUCCUUGUCGGGUAAGUUCCGACCUGCACGAAUGGCGUAAUGAUGGCCAGGCUGUCUCCACCCGAGACUCAGUGAAAUUGAACUCGCUGUGAAGAUGCAGUGUACCCGCGGCAAGACGGAAAGACCCCGUGAACCUUUACUAUAGCUUGACACUGAACAUUGAGCCUUGAUGUGUAGGAUAGGUGGGAGGCUUUGAAGUGUGGACGCCAGUCUGCAUGGAGCCGACCUUGAAAUACCACCCUUUAAUGUUUGAUGUUCUAACGUUGGCCCGUAAUCCGGGUUGCGGACAGUGUCUGGUGGGUAGUUUGACUGGGGCGGUCUCCUCCUAAAGAGUAACGGAGGAGCACGAAGGUUGGCUAAUCCUGGUCGGACAUCAGGAGGUUAGUGCAAUGGCAUAAGCCAGCUUGACUGCGAGCGUGACGGCGCGAGCAGGUGCGAAAGCAGGUCAUAGUGAUCCGGUGGUUCUGAAUGGAAGGGCCAUCGCUCAACGGAUAAAAGGUACUCCGGGGAUAACAGGCUGAUACCGCCCAAGAGUUCAUAUCGACGGCGGUGUUUGGCACCUCGAUGUCGGCUCAUCACAUCCUGGGGCUGAAGUAGGUCCCAAGGGUAUGGCUGUUCGCCAUUUAAAGUGGUACGCGAGCUGGGUUUAGAACGUCGUGAGACAGUUCGGUCCCUAUCUGCCGUGGGCGCUGGAGAACUGAGGGGGGCUGCUCCUAGUACGAGAGGACCGGAGUGGACGCAUCACUGGUGUUCGGGUUGUCAUGCCAAUGGCACUGCCCGGUAGCUAAAUGCGGAAGAGAUAAGUGCUGAAAGCAUCUAAGCACGAAACUUGCCCCGAGAUGAGUUCUCCCUGACUCCUUGAGGGUCCUGAAGGAACGUUGAAGACGACGACGUUGAUAGGCCGGGUGUGUAAGCGCAGCGAUGCGUUGAGCUAACCGGUACUAAUGAACCGUGAGGCUUAACCUU